GUGGGGAAUAUUGGACAAUGGGCGAAAGCCUGAUCCAGCCAUGCCGCGUGUGUGAAGAAGGUCUUCGGAUUGUAAAGCACUUUAAGUUGGGAGGAAGGGCAGUAAGUUAAUACCUUGCUGUUUUGACGUUACCGACAGAAUAAGCACCGGCUAACUCCGUGCCAGCAGCCGCGGUAAUACGGAGGGUGCAAGCGUUAUCCGGAUUUAUUGGGUUUAAAGGGUCCGUAGGCGGAUCGUUAAGUCAGUGGUGAAAUCCUACCGCUCAACGGUAGAACUGCCAUUGAUACUGGCGAUCUUGAGUAUGUAUGAAGUUGGCGGAAUGUGUGGUGUAGCGGUGAAAUGCUUAGAUAUCACACAGAACACCGAUUGCGAAGGCAGCUGACUAAUACACAACUGACGCUGAGGGACGAAAGUGUGGGGAUCAAACAGGAUUAGAAACCCCGGUAGUCC
rnacentral:rRNA from 1 species